rnacentral:rRNA from 1 species
GAAUGGCGUAAUGAUGGCCAGGCUGUCUCCACCCGAGACUCAGUGAAAUUGAACUCGCUGUGAAGAUGCAGUGUACCCGCGGCAAGACGGAAAGACCCCGUGAACCUUUACUAUAGCUUGACACUGAACAUUGAGCCUUGAUGUGUAGGAUAGGUGGGAGGCUUUGAAGUGUGGACGCCAGUCUGCAUGGAGCCGACCUUGAAAUACCACCCUUUAAUGUUUGAUGUUCUAACGUGGACCCGUAAUCCGGGUUGCGGACAGUGUCUGGUGGGUAGUUUGACUGGGGCGGUCUCCUCCUAAAGAGUAACGGAGGAGCACGAAGGUUGGCUAAUCCUGGUCGGACAUCAGGAGGUUAGUGCAAUGGCAUAAGCCAGCUUGACUGCGAGCGUGACGGCGCGAGCAGGUGCGAAAGCAGGUCAUAGUGAUCCGGUGGUUCUGAAUGGAAGGGCCAUCGCUCAACGGAUAAAAGGUACUCCGGGGAUAACAGGCUGAUACCGCCCAAGAGUUCAUAUCGACGGCGGUGUUUGGCACCUCGAUGUCGGCUCAUCACAUCCUGGGGCUGAAGUAGGUCCCAAGGGUAUGGCUGUUCGCCAUUUAAAGUGGUACGCGAGCUGGGUUUAGAACGUCGUGAGACAGUUCGGUCCCUAUCUGCCGUGGGCGCUGGAGAACUGAGGGGGGCUGCUCCUAGUACGAGAGGACCGGAGUGGACGCAUCACUGGUGUUCGGGUUGUCAUGCCAAUGGCACUGCCCGGUAGCUAAAUGCGGAAGAGAUAAGUGCUGAAAGCAUCUAAGCACGAAACUUGCCCCGAGAUGAGUUCUCCCUGAGACUUAGAGUCUCCUGAAGGAACGUUGAAGACGACGACGUUGAUAGGCCGGGUGUGUAAGCGCAGCGAUGCGUUGAGCUAACCGGUACUAAUGAACCGUGAGGCUUAACCUUACA